UAGCAAUACCGGGUGGCGACCGGCGCACGGGUGAGUAACGCGUAUGCAACUUACCUAUCAGAGGGGGAUAACAGUUAGAAAUGACUGCUAAUACCGCAUAACACAUAGGUGUCGCAUGGCACUUAUGUCAAAGAUUUAUCGCUGAAAGAUAGCCUCGCGUCUGAUUAGCUAGUUGGUGGGGUAACGGCCUACCAAGGCGACGAUCAGUAGCCGGACUGAGAGGUUGAACGGCCACAUUGGGACUGAGAUACGGCCCAGACUCC
rnacentral:rRNA from 1 species